AUGAAAAAUAGUAAAAUUGAGACUAUCAGUCUCGAGAGUGAGUUAAAAUCAUAUAUCCAAAAAUAUUUACAACACUUCCAUAACACAUUUAUUUAAUGUGAAAUAAAUAAUAAGUCAUGCAAAAAUAAGCGUGUCAUGUCAUGCUUAUAUAAAAUAAUUUUCACACACUAUGGGACGGAGUACCUCAGCAGAAUCCUAAUCCCAACACCAAACAUCUCGACUCUCUCUCUCAUUUUAACAAAACUGGUGCCUAGAGAGCGAGGCUCGACCAUGGUCCUUAAAUCCACUUCAGACACUUAAUUAUCACUAACACUCUUAGCCUUUCGGCUCUCUUACUCCAAUAAGACUGGCGCCCAAA
rnacentral:lncRNA from 1 species